rnacentral:tRNA from 1 species
CGCUUCGAUGCCGGCAUUGCGAAUGCCGGGGGAACUACAGCCUUUCACGCUCCAGGUCGCGGGUUCGAAUCCCGCUCGUCGUGG